AUCAGUUGGUCUCUGAGGCUGAUGAGCAAAAGAAAGAGAACUACAGGGGAGAAUAGCAACCACCACUUUUGUGUUUAAACGGCAUGACAGCUAGCUUGGCCAACUUUUGCGUUUCACCUAGCCGAAGUCUUGUCACGUGAUCAAAUAGAGACUUAAGAUUGGACAACAACAUAUUACCCAGCAAUCAUCGUUGCAUCUGUGUAUGACAUAAAUACCAGAGAAAAUAAGAAAAUAUUCAUUGAAUUAAAACCAGUCGCGGCUGGUCUUUCCCAAUUUUCGACCGACGGCCAAUCGCGGAUCUCCGCGAAGCUCCGGUAUGAAAACAGACCCGGCACCGGGAGCCGGCAGGAGUUUUUCCGUCUGAAGCCUCUUCAAGUCCGCCAGUCGACUUCUGCUACUUUCACAUUUCAUCCGCCGACACAAAGAGAUGACCAAACAGAUUAACCUCCAGCUGUUGAUGACAUGGUGACUAUCUGGAGGCCACAGCCUGAUGGAACCAGGACUGCGAAGCUGCAUCCCUGUCAGUCAGGCCCCCCCCCUCAGCGCUCAGCCACUCAGGGAGCUUGUUCGUCAGCAUCUACAGUGUCAAGGUGCUUGGAAGACGCUCGUCCCCUCUUUUCAGCCACCUCUUCUCUGGAUACCAGGAAUGAGUGCAGCGUCCCAGGGAUGGACCGAGUGGACAACCUGGCGGAGUAUUUGGUGGGGAUGAGGACUGAAACUGGACAAACACUGAGCGACCGGCAGGCCACCACCAGCAGAGCCCUGUGGUACAACCUUCUGCAUACGACCAGCAGCGAGCGGCAUACGCUGCACAAUAUAUAUUUAUUUUAUAUAUUUCUGUCCUUAAUUUCUGUGUGUGUGUGUUUUGGCCACAACUGUGUAUGUGAGAGAGUUAAGGUGUAUAUUCUGUAAUACAUCUGAAAUAUAUUUCUACAGCAUUACUUUUGACUUAUUUCUACUCAACAUGUCUGUAAAAACAGGAGUCAAGUAAAGUUUAGCUUUUUGCAAACUCAAGCAGAUAAUGAAAUAACAAGAAAGGAAGCAAACAGUAUUGAAACAGUUCCACAUUGUCCAGUCAUCUAGACGAGCAGCUGCAUUGUUGCAGUGCUUUACUCCAUUCGUCGUUAAUUAGAGCGGAUCCUUGAAUUGCAUCUUUUUACAAAGCAAACACACCAAGUUCCAUGUGUGACCAGUGGUUCUUACACGUUUCUCACAUUGCUGUACAUUUCCACAUUACGUACCAUUAAAUACCACAGAGUAUUACUAUUUGGUUGUAUGCCAUUCAGAAUAUCCCACAGUCCUAUUUGUAUUGCUUUUUAAGUGAUUUUUGAAAGACUCACAACGCUUGGUAAGAGUUCCGGUUAAUGGAGAUAUGUUCCAUGUGGGGGGGUCUGUUGAAAAGAAAUAGUUGUGUAACUUUCGAGACAAAAUACGUGAUUUUCACGAGGAAACAAAAUGCAUUAAAGUGACAAAUAACAAAGAGUAUAUAGAGUAUAUAGAACUGCACACAGCCACAUCAUGUAGGAAGAAAUAAGAGUGCUGAAACCAGUCACAGUAAAUGAUCUUUAUAGAGAGAAACCAGUUAAACCAGCCGCAUUCCUCAACAUAGUUUUGCUCUUGUAACUUAUAAUAGCUUUCCCUAUUUAAAAUAAUAGAAAUGACACAUGGGAGCUUACAGCCUGUUUUUCUCUCUCAACAUCUUUCAGGUUUCAGCUGGUCAGAUUCAGCUGAUUUGCAGACAUCCACAGUCACUGCUGGUAACAGUCAGUUGCAUUUUUUAGUCCAGCAAACUCCUGUUGAGCAGCGACUUUUUCAGAGACACAAAUUCAGAGCAACUGUGUGUUUCUUUACAGUGCAGCCGAGCAAACUGAUGCUGUGUCAGCGAAGAAGUCGGCCAAUCGUUGGCCUUUCGUGUCGAUCUGAUGGUAGAGGCAGAUGUCGUGUGAAGAUAUUUUCAGAGUAAAUCACACAUGAAGACUAUUUCACAUGUGAAAGGUUGCAGAUGUGCAUAAUACAGCAGGAACAUGUGGUUUAUCACAUGACACGUGAUCAGUUCACAUAGAGGUGCAUUUGAUUCUUGUCAGUAUCAUUUUGUCAUAAAUGUAUUUGUUGAAUAUUUACACUUUACUGCCUGUUUUUUCCUCAUCAUUCUUCAGUUGUCUUAAAGUGCUUCAGCGGUUUCAUUGACAUUUAUUUUUGACUAGCAUAGAUCAUUUUAGGCCUGCUUUAAAGGACAGAGGUUCAGUUUAACAAGUCAGAGGUUCCUUCUACCUAAAUAAAAGCACACAUGUAUUAUCAGAACAAUGUACACAAAGUAUCAGUAGUAAAAGUACUCAUUCUGCA